rnacentral:rRNA from 1 species
GACGAACGCUGGCGGCGUGCUUAACACAUGCAAGUCGAACGGAAAGGCCCUGCUAUUGUGGGGUGCUCGAGUGGCGAACGGGUGAGUAACACGUGAGUAACCUGCCCUUGACUUUGGGAUAACUUCAGGAAGCUGGGGCUAAUACCGGAUAGGAGCUCCUGCUGCAUGGUGGGGGUUGGAAAGUUUCGGCGGGUGGGGAUGGACGGGCGGCUUACCAGCUAGUUGGUGGGGUAGGGGCUUACCAAGGCUGUGAAUGAUAGGCGGCCCGAGAGGGGGAACGGCGACAAUGGGACUGAGAUACGGACCAGACUCCUACGGGAGGCAGCAGUGGGGAAUAUUGCACAAUGGGCGGAAGCCUGAUGCAGCAACGCCGCGUGCGGGAUGACGGCCUUCGGGUUGUAAACCGCUUUCGCCUGCGACGAAGCGGGAGUGACGGUAAUGGGUAAAGAAGCACCGGCUAACUACGUG